AGAGUUUGAUCCUGGCUCAGGAUGAACGCUGGCGGCGUGCUUAACACAUGCAAGUCGAACGAAGAAGAGUUGAAUGAGAGCUUCGGCAGGAUUUCUUCUCAUCUUAGUGGCGGACGGGUGAGUAACGUGUGGGCAACCUGCCCUAUACUGGGGAAUAAUCACUGGAAACGGUGACUAAUACCGCAUGUCAUCACCGGAGGGCAUCCUCUGGUGAAAAAAGGAGCAAUUCGGUAUAGGAUGGGCCCGCAUCUGAUUAGCUAGUUGGUGAGAUAACAGCCCACCAAGGCGACGAUCAGUAGCCGACCUGAGAGGGUGAUCGGCCACAUUGGGACUGAGACACGGCCCAAACUCCUACGGGAGGCAGCAGUGGGGAAUAUUGCACAAUGGGGGAAACCCUGAUGCAGCAACGCCGCGUGAAGGAUGAAGGUUUUCGGAUCGUAAACUUCUAUCAACAGGGAAGAAACAAAUGACGGUACCUGAAUAAGAAGCCCCGGCUAACUACGUGCCAGCAGCCGCGGU
rnacentral:rRNA from 1 species